AUUGAACGCUGGCGGCAGGCCUAACACAUGCAAGUCGAACGGUAACAGGAAGAAGCUUGCUUCUUUGCUGACGAGUGGCGGACGGGUGAGUAAUGUCUGGGAAACUGCCUGAUGGAGGGGGAUAACUACUGGAAACGGGAGCUAAUACCGCAUAACGUCGCAAGACCAAAGAGGGGGACCUUCGGGCCUCUUGCCAUCGGAUUUGCCCAGAUGGGAUUAGCUAGUAGGUGGGGUAACGGCUCACCUAGGCGACGAUCCCUAGCUGGUCUGAGAGGAUGACCAGCCACACUGGAACUGAGACACGGUCCAGACUCCUACGGGAGGCAGCAGUGGGGAAUAUUGCACAAUGGGCGCAAGCCUGAUGCAGCCAUGCCGCGUGUAUGAAGAAGGCCUUCGGGUUGUAAAGUACUUUCAGCGGGGAGGAAGGGAGUAAAGUUAAUACCUUUGCUCAUUGACGUUACCCGCAGAAGAAGCACCGGCUAACUCCGUG
rnacentral:rRNA from 1 species